CUCUACACCCUUUGUGACAUACCUAUAACUGUUGCUUCGGCGGGUAGGGUCUCCGCGACCCUCCCGGCCUCCCGCCUCCGGGCGGGUCGGCGCCCGCCGGAGGAUAACCAAACUCUGAUUUAACGACGUUUCUUCUGAGUGGUACAAGCAAAUAAUCAAAACUUUUAACAACGGAUCUCUUGGUUCUGGCAUCGAUGAAGAACGCAGCGAAAUGCGAUAAGUAAUGUGAAUUGCAGAAUUCAGUGAAUCAUCGAAUCUUUGAACGCACAUUGCGCCCGCCAGCAUUCUGGCGGGCAUGCCUGUUCGAGCGUCAUUUCAACCCUCAAGCUCUGCUUGGUGUUGGGGCCCUACAGCUGAUGUAGGCCCUCAAAGGUAGUGGCGGACCCUCUCGGAGCCUCCUUUGCGUAGUAACUUUACGUCUCGCACUGGGAUCCGGAGGGACUCUUGCCGUAAAACCCCCAAUUUUCCAAAGGUUGACCUCGGAUCAGGUAGGAAUACCCGCUGAACUUAAGCAUAUCAAUAAGCGGA
rnacentral:rRNA from 1 species